GGGGAUAUAGCUCAGUUGGUAGAGCGCCGCCCUUGCAANNCUUAUCUCCA
rnacentral:tRNA from 1 species